UACGAAGGGGGCUAGCGUUGCUCGGAAUCACUGGGCGUAAAGCGCACGUAGGCGGCUUACUAAGUCAGGGGUGAAAUCCUGGAGCUCAACUCCAGAACUGCCUUUGAUACUGGUGAGCUUGAGUCCGGAAGAGGUGAGUGGAACUGCGAGUGUAGAGGUGAAAUUCGUAGAUAUCGGGAGGAACACCGAUGGCGAAGGCAGCUCGCUGGGACGGUACUGACGCUGAGGCGCGAAAGCGUGGGGAGCAAACAGG
rnacentral:rRNA from 1 species